AGAUUUCAUGGCAUGGCAGAGUAGGAGGCUGAGUACAUGUAGAUCCCAAAGGAAGAAUGAAAUGGGUUGAUAUAAGCACACCAAGUUUGGUCUUCCGGAAUGAAAGUCGCUCCUCUUUCCCUGGAAGGAGUAAGGAAAGGGAUGGAGCAAGAGGCUUGGAAUGUUAUUCUAAUGGCAGUCCCUCUAUGCAAAAAGAUUAACACUACAGACAAUUCAGAUCCUGGGCUCCUGGGAAUCCUAUUAAAACACACCAGAGUGACUUUAGGCAAGAUACAUGAGGUGGGGAGGUGAAGAAAUGACGCUCCUGCCUCUGCAGCUAUGAAGGAAGGCCAGUUUCAAUCAUCCCUGGUAAUGAAGAUUCUGCAAUUAGAACUCAGCUGGCAGUGGUGCUGGGGAUGUGUGAGGCGGAAUAGGAUCCAGGGUCUGCAGGAGGGCAGGCCUGUUUGUCAGGAAGGCUUGAAGGCACCGCUGGGAACAAGUGAUGUGAUGUAAGGAGGAGAGCUAUUUUUACAGACCAUUUUCUAGCCAUAAUCACUCUUUAAAUAAGUUCCACUUGGGCAUUACAGCUUUUACAUUUUAUUUAGGCGACAUUCUGCUCUCCAUUAUCUGUACAAAUGGAAGGGAGUAUUAACACAGAUAACAGAAAACAGUGACACAGCAUUUAUUUAAGCCAGCACUAAUUUGGAAUUUAUGAUAAUUUCACCUGGGUUUGAUUGGAGUUUACUUGUAUGUAUUCUAU
rnacentral:lncRNA from 1 species